UCCCAUCUUGAUGUUCAUGCUUUGUAC
rnacentral:piRNA from 1 species